rnacentral:piRNA from 1 species
UACCAGGUUUGACUGUUUGCCUUUGUC